GCAUCUUGUAUCUACAAUAAAAUAUUAGUAUCAGCACAACUGAAGCAGGAAUUCAGAAAUUGCUUAAGUAUUCCAAUGGCCGGCGAAAAUCCACUCUGUGCUAUCAGCGAUAAGAAUGAAAAGAAAGUGUUCCGGAAUUUAUGCGAGAUGGAGUACGACAACUGUAAACAAAGUGAUCAUUAUUGGCGUUACCUGAGUGAUACAUUAUGCCACUUAUAAUGUACUAGGAAUACAUAAAUUGAGAAGAAAUAAGAUACCAGAAGGAAGAAAUGCUGUAUAUCUUGGCUUAUCUCAA